rnacentral:rRNA from 1 species
AGCAGCCGCGGUAAUUCCAGCUCCAAUAGCGUAUAUUAAAGUUGUUGCAGUUAAAAAGCUCGUAGUUGAAUUUCGGGGUCAGUAGGUUGGUCGUGCCACUGGUAUGCACUGGUCUCACUGAUUCCUCCUUCCUGAUGAACCGUAAUGCCAUUAAUUUGGUGUUGCGGGGAAUCUGGACUGUUACUUUGAAAAAAUUAGAGUGUUUAAAGCAGGCUAACGCUUGAAUACAUUAGCAUGGAAUAAUGAAAUAGGACGGUCGAUCCUAUUUUGUUGGUUUCUAGGAUUGACGUAAUGAUUAAUAGGGAUAGUUGGGGGCAUUAGUAUUCAAUUGUCAGAGGUGAAACUCUUGGAUUUAUUGAAGACUAACUACUGCGAAAGCAUUUGCCAAGGAUGUUUUCAUUAAUCAAGAACGAAAGUUAGGGGAUCGAAGACGAUCAGAUACCGUCGUAGUCUUAACCAUAAACUAUGCCGACUAGGGAUCGGAUGAUGUUAAUUUUUUUAAUGACUCAUUCGGCGUACC